AAGCCGGUGUUUAAAAAUAAAAAACAAAUAGAACACUACACCAUUCAUAAGCCAGAGCUACUAACAAACAUUGUUCUCUACAUUAAAUUUGUCAGGUUGAUAUGAAAGACAGUUGGCUGACUGAUAUCAAGGCUGCUCAAUGUUUUUUAUUCCAUAUAUUGUCUGGGAAAGCCACCGAAAUGUGAAGGCAGUUUAGUCAGUGGGCACAAUACUGAAUUUGUCCUGGUAUUUGUGAAUUGACAGACAGGCCUUGAUGGGAAACAACCUGAACUUCAGACAGCCUCAAUGGGAGAGUGAAGGAUCUUUCCCAGUUAGGUGGGACUAGAGGUAAACAGGAAAGAGAGGUAAGAGAAACUUUGUCCUCGACCGCACCACAAGAACAGGGACCAUUACCGGGUUCCUAGGGAGUCAUACAGUUCCCCAGCUUGUACAGUAAAAUGACAUUCACAUGAAAGUCCCUGGAUUGUACCGAUUACAAACGGAGUUCAGCUCACUGUUGAUGAGUCAGCUUUAUUAACAAAGACUUGAGUGUACUUUGAACAUAAGCUGAUAGAAUUAACCCCAUGAGUCAUCUUACCAUGAGCUAUUUCAUUUCCUAUACUCCCCGCACAGUGGAAGUGAGCUGAUAUUGACACUGAUUGUGCUGUUUGAAUCCUGAAUUGCGUAGACCUCUUCACGUCUAAUGUCUUUGAUGAAGCAGUGAAAUCCGAUUUGUUUAGGAGAAAACUACAAAUGAUACACAAUUUAAUUUCAUAGUUUAUUUCUUUUCAUAUAAAAAAAGUGUCAGUAACUGACGUCAGUCAGAAGUUUGAAAAAAAAGCUCAACUUCCUCUCAAAACACUUCCAAAUGUACCAUUCCUUUAUCAACAUCGCCCCUCCUCCUCAUCACUCAUUCAUCUGUCUGAAUCUCUCAAUCCACCCUCAGAAGAAUGCAGUAAGUUAAUGGUUUUAGUAAACAAAAAACAAAACAGCAGAGGUUUCUCACCUCUGUUCAAAAUUAUAA